rnacentral:lncRNA from 1 species
CUCAAGACAGAAUCUCAAAAGAAAUUACUCUAAGAUAUAAUUUGCUAUAUGGUCUGGAGAAUGAUCUACAAUGGCUAUAUUUUGUUUUCAAAUGAGUGAACUUAUUAAUUAUGUACAGCAAGCUGAAGUAAAAGAAUAAAAACAAUAUCAGACAUACAGAUGUUCGACGGAUGGACAGGCAGAUAAAUAGAAAAAUAUCAUCGAAUCAGACACUCAAAAUAGCCAGCAGAAACUGAUUGAGGAAGUGCUCUUGGGCCAAUUGACUGGAGUUCUCAAUACGGAGAGCACCCAGGGAGAUGUACUACUUUUCCUAGGGAUGCCAUCACACCAUCAAGUCUUAC